UACUUGGUAGCCUAGUUGGUAAAGGCAACACUUCUAGUAUAUUUUAGCUUCUAGCUAAGGUCGCUGGUUCAAAUCCUGCCCAAGUUU
rfam:Puccinia sorghi strain RO10H11247 Scaffold_15293, whole genome shotgun sequence.